AAUCAACGCUGGCGGCGUGCCUCAGACAUGCAAGUCGAACGAUUAAAGCUCUCUUCGGAGAGUGUAUAGAGUGGCGCACGGGUGAGUAACACGUAAGUAAUCUACCCUCGAGUGGGGAAUAACAACCGGAAACGGUUGCUAAUACCGCAUAAUGCAGCGGCACCGCAAGGUGACAGUUGUUAAAGAUUUAUCGCUUGAGGAGGAGCUUGCGGCAGAUUAGCUAGUUGGUAGGGUAACGGCUUACCAAGGCUACGAUCUGUAACCGGUCUAAGAGGACGGUCGGUCACACUGACACUGAAUAACGGGUCAGACUCCUACGGGAGGCAGCAGUCGGGAAUUUUGGGCAAUGGGCGAAAGCCUGACCCAGCAACGCCGCGUGAAGGAUGAAGUAUUUCGGUAUGUAAACUUCGAAAGAAUAGGAAGAAUUAAUGACGGUACUAUUUAUAAGGUCCGGCUAACUACGUGCCAGCAGCCGCGG
rnacentral:rRNA from 1 species